GAUGAAGAACGCAGCGAAAUGCGAUAAGUAAUGUGAAUUGCAGAAUCCAGUGAAUCAUCGAAUCUUUGAACGCACAUUGCGCCCGCCAGCAUUCUGGCGGGCAUGCCUGUUCGAGCGUCAUUUCAACCCUCGACCUCCCUUUGGGGAAGUCGGCGUUGGGGACCGGCAGCACACCGCCGGCCUUGAAAUGGAGUGGCGGCCCGUCCGCGGCGACCUCUGCGUAGUAAACCAACUCGCACCGGAACCCCGACGUGGCCACGCCGUAAAACACCCAACUUCUGAACGUUGACCUCGAAUCAGGUAGGACUACCCGCUGAACUUAAGCAUAUCAAUAAGCGGAGGA
rnacentral:misc_RNA from 1 species